rnacentral:rRNA from 1 species
GUUGAACGCUGGCGGCAUGCCUAACACAUGCAAGUCGAGCGAGCGGCGGACGGGUGGGUAAUUUAUGGGGAUCUGCCUGAUAGAGGGGUAUGACUGCUGGAAACCGUGGCUAAUACCGCUUACUAUCGGAUCGGCCCAUAGGGGAUUAGCUAGUAGGUGGGGUAAAGGCUCACCUAGGCGACGCUGGCUAGCUGGUCUGAGAGGAUGAUCGGCCACACUGGGACUGAGACACGGCCCAGACUCCUACGGGAGGCAGCAGUGGGGAAUAUUGGACAAUGGGCGCAAGUCUGAUGCAGCCACGCCGCGUGUAUGAAGAAGGCCUUCGGGUUGUAAAGCACUUUUAGUGGGGAGGCGUUACCCGAAGAAGAAGCAACGGCUAACUCCGUGCCAGCAGCCGCGGUAAUUC